AGCACACAGCGAGUCUGCUGCGGAAGGUGCGCUGGUCCUGCAACCCGACUGGAGAGACUGAGCUGCCCCAGAGCCUCUGAAGUCCCCGUUUGUUGUGUGUUACCUCUGGCUUCAGCAGAGUGACCUUCGUGGGAAGCAGGGUCCUGGUCCUCCUGCUCAGGAGUCUCUGUGAUGCGGCCCUGGCUCGGCGUGUUGCGAUGAUCCAGCAUGGCCAAGUACGGAUCCUGUCGUGCUGCUGAAGCCUUCAGCAUCAGGCGCUUGGCUGUCUUCACCGCUGACUCCGCUUUCCUGUUACUCUGCGGGUAUCCUGGCAACGAUGUCCUGUGUUCAAAGUCCCACUUUCGGCUGAAGUUGUCACGUAUACACACUCCCUCGCUCGCCUCAGACAUCCCUCUACUCCCAGGUGAGAGGAGUGGAUCCUGUGAGUGAUGUCCACCCUGAAUGCGUCAGGUAUCGCGGCUCUGUCCCCUCGGAACACUAUGUCAUCCUGGAAACUCAUCUUGGAAGGUGUGGUAGUGCCUGAUGUCACUUGCCCUGAUGGCACUCAGCCUCUCUGCUGAAAUGGGUAGGUAGCCAACCAUGUUUACAGUCUCUAUAUCUGUCUCACUCUCUCCCCUAGUGCUCUCUGGUAAGUAUGCUCUGCUCAGCGUGUCUGCAAGCAACAUAUCCCUGCCUGGAACAUAGGUCACAAUAAUAUCAUACUGCUGUAGCCUGAGUAACAUUAUCUGCAGUCUCUUAGGUGCACUAAGUAGGGGCUUGCUGUGUAUAUUCUCUAGAGGCUUGUGGUCACUCUGUACUGUGACCUCUCUACCAUAAGUAUACUGAUGGAACUUUUCCAUCCCAAACACAAUGGCUAAACAUUCCUUCUCUAUUUGGGCAUAGCCCUUUUCAGUUGGUGUGAGUGCCCUACUGCCAAAUGCUACCGGUUUACCUUUCUGUGUCAGGGCGGCCCUCAGUCCUGUGUCCGAUGCGUCACACUGAAGUGUCAACUCCUCUUCCUUGUUGUAGUAUUGUAGGACUGGUGCUUUCGCAAUUUUGUCUUUCAGCCGUUGAAACGCCCCUUCUUGGAUGUCUGUCCAUUCCCACAUGUUCUCCUUGCGCGUGAGUUGUCUCAGAAUCUCAGUCAUCCGAGAGGUGAUCAUAGAAUUUAGAAAUAUAGGCCUUGGCAUCCCUCUGAUUGCCCACACUUUCUCCGGGUCAAUCCUCAGUCCAUCGGCCGUGAGCAGAUGACCUAUGUAGGGUACCUCCUUCUGCCUAAGCUUGAAUUUGUCCACGUUCAGCUUGAUCUGCACUGUGCAGCAAAAUGAUUUUCCUUUCCACACUUCUUACAUUUUCUUUCAAAAGCUGGGCAUUUUUUCUUAUUCCUCUCGUGUGUUCUACCACAAAAAUUGCACAGUAUCUCAUUGUCUUCUUUCCUUCCUUCCGUCUGUUUUAGUGCAUGUAUCUCCUCCACUGUCUGUCCUUUCAGUGUUCUGCAAUUCUCCCUAGGCAGCUCUGUAGCUCUACAGAUGUGCAGGCAUGUAUCAAGAGUCAGCUUCUCUUCCCUGAGUAAUCUCUCCCUCAGCGCUGAGCUAUUUGUACCGCACACAAGCCGGUCUCUAAUCAAUGAAUCUCUAAUGUCCCCAAAAUUGCAACUGCUAGCAGUCAUCAAUACUCUGCUGUAGUAAAGUUAUCCGGACCGCUCCGCGUGUGUGGUGCACCCUCUAAAUUAGUGAUGUGUCGUUCGUGAACGAUUCGUUCAUUUUGAACGAAUCCUUACAAUGACUCGAGAGUAACGAGUCCUCUCAUAAAAAGAUUAGUUCAUUUUCUCGUGGCCACGCAUCGGGACUUGCAUAGGCUCAGCCAAGGAAACAGAAAUGAUUCGUUGAAUGCAGGUCACGUGGGAAAUGAUCCUUCUGCCAACCAAGUGGUACCAGUGCUGAGCCUAUGCAGGUCACGUGAAAAAUGAACGAUGAACAAUGAACGAAUCAUUGACCCGAAGGCUCGGUUGGUAGAUGAACGAAACAUUGACCCGAAGACACGGUCGGGAGGUGAACGAUUCGUUCAUUUGCCGGAUUACAGAUCUUUAGAUCAUUUUUCACGUAACCUGCAUAGGCUCAGCACUGAGCCACGCUAGCAUCAGGCUAACGUCCCCGUCCAUCCACGCUAGCAUCAAGCGAACCCUUACAUACAACACAUAAUAACAACCUCGCUACCAGACUGUGGACUUCACCGCUUUAUAACAAAGCUUUUUUGCAACGUAAAUGGAUCAGUACCGCCGCUGCCCAUUUUUAACACAGGGGACCGGCUAUGCCCCGGAGAGGUCAGUGUUGUGUGGACGGGACGGGGCUAUAUACUGGCCAUCACACUACAUAAUGGGCGUUUCGUGUUGACAACGACCCAUCCUGGAAAGUCCACUGAGUGCACGAACCCAAAGGUUCCGACAUGCGAGCACCGCAUGGAGGCCGGCUUUGGACCUGGGCAGCGGUGAUUUUAUCCCAGUUUGCAUGUUUAUUGGCGGACCUUUAAUUGCAAGGUUCUGGCCGUCAGUGGUAACCAGAGCGAGCUCAUUGUCAGUGAGAUCAACGUGACCCGGGUCCGGCGGUACGAGCGGAGUACUCACUUGUCUGGACGGCCGGCUACAGGCUGAACUUCACGUGACCUGCAUAGGCUCAGCAGCACUGGUAGCGAUAAGCAGUCAGCAUUCUUUCUCUGCGCUAGCAGGUUGCCAUCGCCGUCUGAGCCGUCGUGUUUUCAAACGAAAAUACCAUCCAACCGUAUUGGUUUAAAGAUGAUUUUUUGAGCUCAAUUCCAUCGUAUAUCUUCUUUUUUUCUUCUUUGGACGACCAUUCAGCUUUUACACUGACAUUCUUUUUGUAAAAGGUGAGCUGUCUCGAUGGGUUUCUAGCCCAGCUAGCAUUCAGCUAACUUAGCUAAGCCACCGGUUUGGUAGGAAGUUCGUCUUCGUUACGAUUUAAUAUUGGAUUCCAAGUGGUGUACUACCAACGUGAAUUAUCACGUUCGGUUCUAACGGACCUCGUUUGUGUUACGAUGUAUAGAUUUACCGGUUUUACCUUUAGGAAAACCUCUAUUGUUAUGAACGAUGAACGAAUCAUUGAUCUAUUCGGUGAGUACGAGUAGAUCAAUGAUUCGUCUUCGAUUCGGUCUUCGGAUACGGAUCUUAGGAUCAUUUUUCACGUGACCUGCGCUCAGAAGAGGAAACAGAAAGGAUUUGUUUACCUCGUUCACUUUCGCGUGGCUAGGUUUAGUAAGGAAUGAAAUGAACGAAUGACUCGAAAAAAGAUUAGUUCAUUUUGCUGAACAAGAUUCAAAGAACCGAGUCGGUAAAAUGAUCAUGCCAUCACUACUCUAAAUCCGUCCCCCCUACAACAGUACUACAAUAAACAAUCCUAUUGUUAGUCUAGUUUAAGGAUCACCAUGUUAAAUGUAAACAUUUUUAGACCUUUUUAAGACUACACAAUUAACUUUAAUUUCAUGAUCAUACUGGCCAAACUAAAAUACAAUGGAAAACUAGUUGGAAGGAUACCCUGUAAGGUUAUUUUUUACUACAUCAGUACUUCCCAGCAGUUUAUAGAAUCAUUCUUAACAAUAUAAUUUGAAUUAACAGCCUUCCUACUAGGAUGAAUGGCAUAAAAUGGAUUCAGGGAUUUAACAAAGUAUGAGACAAAUUUAAGAUUUUGCUAUGAUUGAAACUUGCCCAUAAUGAGUCACUGAGCUUCUACAUUUUAGGUAGCUCACAGCAUUUGCUCCAAGUCUGAAGGUUACUGAAAUUCCGCAACAAAAGAUUCAAAUUCAUCCUGAUCAAAUCAUCAAACUGAUAGAAUAUGUAUAUUUGAACAAAUAACUCAAAUUCAUAAUACAACCAUGAUCUAAGGUCUCAAAAAAGACAAGGAGCCACCUCCUCUUCCUCUAUGGACCGUCCUUUGUUGUAUAAUUACCUAUUAAUAUACUUACUUAAGAUCAAUCUAAUUCUGAUGUGUUUAACGAUGUUAGUGCCUUAAUUCAGUCCAGGUCAUAGCUGCUAUAUUACAAACCAUUCACCUAAUGUGACAUUUCAUGAAACGCCUCUGUAUUUAAAUGGAAAAAAAUCCCAUUAACAUGAUUCACACGAUGAUGUUUUCCUUUUGAAAAAAAAUAUAGAGUCGAACAAAACCGAAUGACGUAGAGAUAGAUUAUCAACUGUCAGUCUCUUGACUCAGUAUAAAAGCACACGCCCUACCUUCCUUUGUCAGGCAUUACUGGCAUUCUAUGUGCAUGUCAAAAGAAGUUCCUCCAGAAUGACAAACAGUGACAAAAAAACGUGUGGUAAUGGAAUGAGAAGAGGCAAGAUAUGGAUACCAGGUCAUCUCAGAAUUAUAUUGGAACUUUUUUAGAGAAGGACUCACACACAUUUACAAGUACUGACAAUAAGACAUUAGCCGUAGACGUAUUUACCUUUAGGAGCCGAGAUUCAUCAUGAUGUUUAUACGGACACAGUGUUCCUCGACAACCAAAACACUACUACUAAAUCACUGAGGAAGGCGUGUGGGAGUAACGGAAAUACCUCCGAUACUGCAUAAGGGUUUGAUUUGCAUAUCGGUGAGGAGGCAAGUCUACCCACUGAUCCGAUGAUGUGUUGUGAUAUACAUGCAUUUUUUCUAAUGGCAAGUACAUGACUACACCUCUACUUUUAAACUUAGAAACAAAUCGGAUGAGCAAAAGUCAUAGUGUAGAGGAACACAAAUCGCAGUAGAUCCAAAUCUUGGGCUUUCCAUGGUGGGCUGGUUGCUUCUGAAUACAACUCUGGAAACUGAACUAAAGCAAUUCUGUCAAAGCUGCAAGAUGUUUUCUGACUUUGAAACGAAUCCAACCUCGUGGUACGGACAAAAAACAUUAGGAAUAACUCAUUUGAAAUAGGCAUUAAUCAUGCUGAUGGUCCUGUUUUUUCUUCAUGGUAUUUGUUUUUAGAGCUAUUGCUACUUUCGUUCUAAAAGGGAUUACAACCUUGUGUUGGAUUUACCGGUUGGAUGAUUUUAUGAAUAUAGGGGGACUACUGGUAGUUUCUAAAUAAUACCACUUCUGCCUUUAAGAUCCCUUAACCUGCCUUGAUACAUUUUCAAUUAAAACAUCAUGAAUGAAACAUAACACAAGAGACAAUUUCAAUUCAUCAAGACAAGUGUAUUUUGAUUGUUAUAACGUAUUUGAAAGAAAUUGUACAAACAACCCACAUUUUCAUUGAAUACAGUGAUAGAGGAAGAAGUUGUCCGUGGAUUACUUUGACAUACAUGCUUACCCUUACCCUUGAUAUAACUUCAUUUAAAAGUAAUUGUUCAGUUAUACUCUUAUACUACUGUGAUAAGUUUUAUUUAUUUUGUUUUAUUUUAAGUUUUAUUUAUUUUGUGAAGAAGCGAAAUCAUUUCAUUAUUAAUUGUGC
ensembl:lncRNA